CAAAACUGUUUCUGACACAACUACUUAACUCUGUUCCCAUAACACAAGGCAGUCAUAGACAAUAUAUAAACAAAUGGACGUAAAACAAAUGAUCUGCUGAGAACCUCAGGACCUUGCUUUAGACCAGCUUUGCCCAACGGAACCUUCUACAUGACAGAAAUGUUUUAUUUAUUAAUCACACAGCUAGUGUGCCUAAGGAACUUUAAAAUAUUUCAAAUGUAAACAGCCACAUGUGCCCAGUGGUGACUGUACUGCCCAGUGCUGCAUUUGACUAAAAAUGAACCAGUUCUACUCUGUUCAAAAACUUAAGGCUAAAAAUGAACCCUGCGAUUAUUUUACAUGAUGAACUGGGAGGAGAAAAC
rnacentral:lncRNA from 1 species